CCCUUAGAUGUUCGGGGCCGCACGCGCGCUACACUGAAGGACUCAGCGUGUCUCUCCCCCUAUCCCGAAAGGGAUGGGCAACCCGUUGAACCUCCUUCGUGCUAGGGAUUGGGGUUUGCAAUUAUCCCCCAUGAACGAGGAAUUCCCAGUAAGCGCGAGUCAUCAGCUCGCGUUGAUUACGUCCCUGCCCUUUGUACACACCGCCCGUCGCUACUACCGAUUGGAUGGUUUAGUGAGACCCUCGGAUCGGUCCCGACUCGGGGUGGGCUUCUGCCCCGGUCGUGGUUUCGCCGAGAAGACGGUCAACUUGACUAUCUAGAGGAAGUAAAAGUCGUAACA
rnacentral:rRNA from 1 species